CCGACCGGCGCACGGGUGAGUAACGCGUAUGCAACUUACCUAUCAGAGGGGAUAACCCGGCGAAAGUCGGACUAAUACCGCAUGAAGCAGGGGCCCCGCAUGGGGAUAUUUGCUAAAGAUUCAUCGCUGAUAGAUAGGCAUGCGUUCCAUUAGGCAGUUGGCGGGGUAACGGCCCACCAAACCGACGAUGGAUAGGGGUUCUGAGAGGAAGGUCCCCCACAUUGGAACUGAGACACGGUCCAA
rnacentral:rRNA from 1 species